rnacentral:rRNA from 1 species
CCUGAUGGAGCAACGCCACGUGGGUGAAGAAGGUCUUCGGGAUCGUAAAACCCUGUUGUCAGAGAAGAAAGUGCAUGAGAGUAACUGUUCAUGUUUCGACGGUAUCUGACCAGAAAGCCACGGCUAACUACGUGCCAGCAGCCGCGGUAAUACGUAGGUGGCAAGCGUUAUCCGGAUUUAUUGGGCGUAAAGGGAACGCAGGCGGUCUUUUAAGUCUGAUGUGAAAGCCUUCGGCUUAACCGGAGUAGUGCAUUGGAAACUGGGAGACUUGAGUGCAGAAGAGGAGAGUGGAACUCCAUGUGUAGCGGUGAA